rnacentral:rRNA from 1 species
UACGUAGGGUGCAAGCGUUUGUUCGGAUUUACUGGGCGAAAGGGAGCGUAGGUGGUUAGGUAAGCCCUCCGGGAAAUCUUCAGGCUUAACCUGAAAAGGUCGGGGGGGACUGCCUGGCUAGAGGACGGGAGAGGAGCGCGGAAUUCCCGGUGUAGCGGUGAAAUGCGUAGAGAUCGGGAGGAAGGCCGGUGGCGAAGGCAGCCUCCUGGGCCAACACUGACGCUCAUGCACGAAAGCGUGGGGAGCAAACAGG